UCCCUACGGGAGGCAGCAGUGGGGAAUAUUGCACAAUGGGGGAAACCCUGAUGCAGCGACGCCGCGUGAGUGAAGAAGUAAUUCGUUACGUAAAGCUCUGUCAGCAGGGAAGAAAAUGACGGUACCUGACCAAGAAGCCCCGGCUAACUACGUGCCAGCAGCCGCGGUAAUACGUAGGGGGCAAGCGUUAUCCGGAUUUACUGGGUGUAAAGGGAGCGUAGACGGUGCGCCAAGUCUGGAGUGAAAUGCCGCGGCUUAACCGCGGUACUGCUUUGGAAACUGGCGCGCUGGAUUGCG
rnacentral:rRNA from 1 species